rnacentral:rRNA from 1 species
AGCAGCCGCGGUAAUUCCAGCUCCAAUAGCGUAUAUUAAAGUUGCUGCAGUUAAAAAGCUCGUAGUUGAAUUUCGGGAUCAAUAUGAUGGUCGUGCCUUGGUACGUACUAGCUCAUUGGUUUCUCCCUUCUGACGAACCAUGAUGUCAUUAAUUUGAUGUCAUGGGGAAUCAGGACUGUUACUUUGAAAAAAUUAGAGUGUUUAAAGCAGGCUCGCGCUUGAAUACAUUAGCAUGGAAUAAUGAAAUAGGACAUUUGAUUCUAUUUUGUUGGUUUCUAGGAUCGAUGUAAUGAUUAAUAGGGAUAGUUGGGGGCAUUAGUAUUCAAUUGUCAGAGGUGAAAUUCUUGGAUUUAUUGAAGACUAACUACUGCGAAAGCAUUUGCCAAGGAUG